UUUGGAAAUGUUUGUCAGAGUGGGAUGCUUGAAAUUCUAAUCUGAGCACGGUUGGAAUAGUUUGAGAAAAAACGAAGGCCAUGACCUUGGCAGUUGGGUGGCCGGAGUAGAAUUGGCUGGUGGUAGAAGAUGGCGGGUGCGGAUGGAUAACGUGGAGACCUGGAAUUCUGGUGACGACAGAGCUGCGAGGCAUAAUGGGCUCUAUUUGAAAGUUGUCUGGGCAUAGGUGAAUAAUCAGGCCGUAGUCCUGAGUACUCAUUAAGAAGGUGUGAGGCCACUGAGUGACUGUUUUCUUCUCGGGGAAGGAUCUCAAGACAAACAGCGCAAGGGACAGCCUGACUGUAAGAGGGAGGUCUGAUCUCAUCAGCAGCCCUGCAGGUCCCAGACCACUUCUGGGAGCUCCACUGCCUAACAGAGUCCCUGCCUUUAGAUGGAGACACUACUUUGGAACGUUUUGAAUGACAUUUUUGUGGCUCAUGCUGAAAGAGAGCUUCAGAGGCCAAACAUUAGAUGCCCUGCCCAGUGAGGAGGUAGCCCAGUCACAAUCUGCCAGCAGAGGUGUUGCUGAGUUGCCAUGGGCUCUGUCCAGAUGCUGUGUGAACUUUCCUGCAGUUUUGUUUGUAGAGGUAUGGUUAGAACUGCCUCAGUAAUGGUGGACUGCCUCGGAAGUGGUGGACUGCCUCAGUAAUGGCAGAUGCCCUUCCCCACCACAGAACUGGAUCAUCCCGGGUCCAGCUGUGCGUGCUGUGAAACUCAGUCCAGAGUGUUUCAGAUUGCUGGUCUUUGUGUUGGUGGAACCCCCUGAGCCAGAUCACAUGGCUCCCUGUUUCAGCCCCUUUUUUUUCAGUUGAAUGGGCGACUCUGUCUCCUGGGCAUUUUGGGCACCAGUUGAAAUGGCCUCCCAGAUGUGUGUGAGUUUUUGUGUGGAGACCCGCUGUACUGGCUGAAGCAGCUGUGCUGGAGACUCAUGGCUCUUUUCUGCCCAGGAAUCUCUUGGUCUGUGGGCAAUAAAAACUCAUUUGGAAAUGCA
rnacentral:lncRNA from 13 species